CCCUGGUUAGCUCAGUUGUUAGAGCGCUCCACCUGUAAUGGAGAGGUCCCGGGUUCGAUACCCGGACC
rnacentral:tRNA from 1 species